rnacentral:misc_RNA from 1 species
CUGCCAUCGGCUACAGGUGGGAGA